GUCAGUGUGGUGUAGUUGUUUGAGUGCUGGACUAGAACUCCAGGAGAACUGGGUUCAAAUCCAUGCUCAGUCA